rnacentral:rRNA from 1 species
GAUGAACGCUAGCUACAGGCUUAACACAUGCAAGUCGAGGGGCAUCAGGAAGAAAGCUUGCUUUCUUUGCUGGCGGCCGGCGCACGGGUGAGUAACACGUAUCCAACCUGCCCUUUACUCGGGGAUAGCCUUUCGAAAGAAAGAUUAAUACCCGAUGGGAUAAUGAUUCCGCAUGGUUUGAUUAUUAAAGGAUUCCGGUAAAGGAUGGGGAUGCGUUCCAUUAGGUUGUUGGUGAGGGAACGGCUCACCAAGCCUUCGAUGGAUAGGGGUUCUGAGAGGAAAGUCCCCCACACUGGAACUGAGGCAAGGUCCAAACUCCGACCGGAGGCAGCAGUGAGGAAUAUUGGUCAAUGGGCGCGAGCCUGAACCAGCCAAGUAGCAUGAAGGAUGACUGCCCUAUGGGUUGUAAACUUCUUUUAUAUUAGAAUAAAGUGCAGUAUGUAUACUGUUUUGUAUGUAUAAUAUGAAUAAGGAUCGGCUAACUCCGUGCCAGCCGCCGCCGUAA